ACUUAUGGCCAUACCACCCUGAGCACACCCGAUCUCGGAAGCUAAGCAGGGUCGGGCCUGGUUAGUACUUGAAUGGGAGACCGCCUGGGAAUACCAGGUGCUGUAAGCU
rnacentral:rRNA from 1 species